rnacentral:lncRNA from 1 species
AUGGGAAUCUCUGGAGAAAUGCCUGAUUUUAGGACGGGUGGAACAAGUCAAGUAAAGAUGUGCCUGAGAUAUUUUGUUGUGCAAGAAACUAAGGAAAUGCUUACGAAAUGAUGGGGACAUGUGACAAAGAUACAGGAUACUGCCAUACAAGCUCCAAACAUGAUAACAUAAACAUAGAGGAAGCUGCCCGGUUCCUAGUGGAGAAGAUUCUUGUAAACCACCAAAGCUUUCCUAAUGAAGAAAACGAUGUGGACAAAAUUAAGCUAGAUCAAGAGACCUUGAGAGCAGAGAACAAAUCCCAGUGUUGCUGAUAUGGCUUCUGCUUCUCUUGUGUGUGCCUCAGCUCUGAAGAAGUUCCUGAGAAUGGGUUACAGAUGUCAUGUUAGCUGGGAGUCUUCCCACAGGUGGCACUUCAAAAGGCAGCACCACUGGGCGCCUGCACUUAUUUGAAAAUGGAACUUUGGGAGAAGUAUCCCUGCUAGUGGCUCUGUAACUUAACAGAUGACAAUUAGGCUUUUGUCAUUGUUGCCAUCAUAUGGAAGAUAAUGUUUACAUCCUUUUAAACAUUUUUAUAUGACAAUUCCUCAGGAUUUGGUAAGGCUUCCAAGUUGUAGCUUUUAGUGUAAGUGCUGGGGUGGUAAUAAAAUG